rnacentral:rRNA from 1 species
GGUGCAGCAGCGCGACACUUACAAUGCGGGAAACGCGAUAAGGGACCCCGAGUGCCAGCAUCAAAUGUUGCUGUCCAGAUGAUUAAAAAUCAUUGUUAGCAAGGGCCGGGCAAGACCGGUGCCAGCCGCCGCGGUAACACCGGCGGCCCGAGUGGUAGCCGUUUUUAUUGGGUCUAAAGGGUUCGUAGCCGGCUGAUAAGUCCUUUGGGAAAUCUGGCAGCUUAACUGUCAGGCUUCUAAGGGAUACUGUCAGGCUUGGGACCGGAAGAGGUAAGGGGUACUCCAGGGGUAGGAGUGAAAUCUUGUAAUCCCUGGGGGACCAUCUGUGGCGAAGGCGCCUUACCAGAACGGGUCCGACGGUGAGGGACGAAAGCUAGGGGAGCAAACCGGAUUAGAUACCCGGGUAGUCCUAGCUGUAAACGAUGCUCGCUAGGUGUCAGACACGGUGCGACCGUGUUUGGUGCCGCAGGGAAGCCGUUAAGCGAGCCACCUGGGAAGUACGGUCGCAAGGCUGAAACUUAAAGGAAUUGGCGGGGGAGCACUACAACGGGUGGAGCCUGCGGUUUAAUUGGAUUCAACGCCGGAAAACUCACCGGGUGCGACAGCAAUAUGUAGGUCAGGCUGAAGGUCUUACCUGAAUCGCUGAGAGGAGGUGCAUGGCCGUCGUCAGUUCGUACUGUGAAGCAUCCUGUUAAGUCAGGCAACGAGCGAGACCCGCGCCCACAGUUGCCAGCAUGUUCUCUGGAACGAUGGGUACACUGUGGGGACCGCCGCUGCUAAAGCGGAGGAAGGAACGGGCUACGGUAGGUCAGUAUGCCCCGAAUCCCCCGGGCUACACGCGAGCUGCAAUG